rnacentral:rRNA from 1 species
UGGAAGUAAAAAGUCGUAACAAGGUUUCCGUAGGUGAACCUGCGGAAGGAUCAUUAAAGAGUAAGGGUGCUCAGCGCCCGACCUCCAACCCUUUGUUGUUAAAACUACCUUGUUGCUUUGGCGGGACCGCUCGGUCUCGAGCCGCUGGGGAUUCGUCCCAGGCGAGCGCCCGCCAGAGUUAAACCAAACUCUUGUUAUUUAACCGGUCGUCUGAGUUAAAAUUUUGAAUAAAUCAAAACUUUCAACAACGGAUCUCUUGGUUCUCGCAUCGAUGAAGAACGCAGCGAAAUGCGAUAAGUAAUGUGAAUUGCAGAAUUCAGUGAAUCAUCGAAUCUUUGAACGCACAUUGCGCCCCUUGGUAUUCCGAGGGGCAUGCCUGUUCGAGCGUCAUUACACCACUCAAGCUAUGCUUGGUAUUGGGCGUCGUCCUUAGUUGGGCGCGCCUUAAAGACCUCGGCGAGGCCACUCCGGCUUUAGGCGUAGUAGAAUUUAUUCGAACGUCUGUCAAAGGAGAGGAACUCUGCCGACUGAAACCUUUAUUUUUCUAGGUUGACCUCGGAUCAGGUAGGGAUACCCGCUGAACUUAAGCAUAUCAAUAAGCGGAGGAAAA